UGAGGAAUAUUGGUCAAUGGGCGCAAGCCUGAACCAGCCAAGUAGCGUGAGGGAAGACUGCCCUACGGGUUGUAAACCUCUUUUGUUUGGGAAUAAAGUGCGGGACGUGUCCCGCAUUGCAUGUACCAUUUGAAUAAGGACCGGCUAAUUCCGUGCCAGCAGCCGCGGUAAUACGGAAGGUCCGGGCGUUAUCCGGAUUUAUUGGGUUUAAAGGGAGCGUAGGCCGUCUUAUAAGCGUGUUGUGAAAUGUCGUGGCUCAACCUGGGCAUUGCAGCGCGAACUGUGAGACUUGAGUGCGCAGGAAGUAGGCGGAAUUCGUCGUGUAGCGGUGAAAUGCUUAGAUAUGACGAAGAACUCCGAUUGCGAAGGCAGCCUGCUGUAGCGCAACUGACGCUGAAGCUCGAAAGCGUGGGU
rnacentral:rRNA from 1 species